ensembl:lncRNA
CUGGGGGCGGGGCGAAGCCGUCGGCGGAUCGGCUCGUGGAGCGCUGGACUGACCUCCCUAGGCUUCCGGGGCGCCCCAGCGUGGACCAUGCUGCAAGCUUCCGGCCGGCGGGGGGACGUUUUACUGCGGAACACCCCUCAUCUAGACGGGGCGAUCUAAAUUGGGUGCCCACCAUCACACCGUCCGCGCAUACAGAGACAACCCAACCGACAACGUGGCAAGUAUGUUCCCACGGACGUCGGCAACCUAGCGUGUCACGGACGUUUGUAUCUGCACCUCCACGUAAACACGAAUCCAGAUUUGCAUGUGGCUGGACGGGACGAUUAGCUACUGGAGUUACCCCCACCCAGGCUCUCUGAAGACGUAAACUUGGUGGCCUCAUAUCAGCCAACCUUGAAGCCAGUUGGCAGAGAGCCUGGGAAAUGUUUCCAGGGAUCAGUCCUGGAAGACAGAGCAGAGCAGGGGAAGGGAAGAGAAAGGACCUCCAAGCAAGCGGGGAAAUAACCAGAUAACCAGUACAGUGAAUUUCACCAAGGAAUCAUGUUGUUCAACUUCUUGCAAAUUGAAUCUUGAUAAAUAGAAGUCAAUCCACGUUGUCAUGGAGGAGGAGCAUGUGAUCUGGAGCUGAGGACCAGCUGCCUCCUACUAGCAGACUGCCUGGUGGCCGUGGUGAAGACCACCAUGUUUCUUCCAGGCAAGAUUCUAGGGUGUCAGGAAUUUGAACAGGACUCAGAAGGGAAGGCUCAUCUCUCUCCACUAUGUCUGGGACCUCAGCUAGAAGACGUGAAGGCAGAGGAUGAGCGUCAUCGGCAGUUUGCACACUUGCCUGUCUGGCAGUUGAUGCUGCGAAGAUUCAAAUAACUGGGGUCCUGGGGCCUCUCUCUGUGCCCUUUCCCUGUGGUCUCUCCAGACUGGUGACUUCAGCGUAACUGGACUUCUCCCAUGUGGGUUGCCAAUAAUAUGUCCUGAGAGAGAGAGAGAGAGAAAGAGAGAAAGAGAGAGAGAAAGAGAGAGGGAGGCGAGCCAGCUGGAUACGGUAUCACUGUAUCACCUGUUCUAACCUGGCUUUGGAAGUCCCACAAUCUCACUUCCACCACAUUCUAUUAGUUAGAAGCCCGUCAUGAGGGCCGGCCCAUAUUCAAAUGGAGGGGAAUUAGACCCACCUUUUGUGGGAGGAGCUUCAAAGAAUUUUAAGACAUGUUUUAAAACUACCACAAUCCCCACUUAUGCUUUAGGGGCACCAAAUCACCCAUCGAUCCUUGAAUUUGUGGCCAUGCUCUUACUUAAACACUACCCUUUUGUUGCAGUGCCAUUGGUACCACAAGUUUACCUCCUAAAUUUCUACUCACCAUUUAUGAUUCAGCUUAGAUGCCAUCUGCAUUGUAAUCUUCUACAGCCUUACCUUUGGAAGUGAUCACACCUUCUCUGUUCUGCCCAGGGCCCUAUUUCAAUUUUCCUUAGGCGACCUGAAUACGUAUUUGUUAAAUGGAUAAACAAAAUAGCAUAAUAAAACGCCAAAUGAGAAAGUGACUAUAAGUGAUAUGUACAACAUCUUUUUGAGUUUGCUUCUGUUUGUGUUCAUUU